CCUACGGGGGGCAGCAGUGGGGAAUAUUGCACAAUGGGGGAAACCCUGAUGCAGCAACGCCGCGUGAGCGAUGAAGGCCUUCGGGUCGUAAAGCUCUGUCCUAAGGGAAGAAUACUGACGGUACCUUAGGAGGAAGCCCCGGCUAACUACGUGCCAGCAGCCGCGGUAAUACGUAGGGGGCUGGCGUUAUCCGGAAUUACUGGGAGUAAAGGGUGCGUCGGCGGCCCUUCAAGUCAGAGGAGAAACGCUACGGCUCAACCGUAGUAAGGCGCUGAAACUGUAGGGCUUGAGUACAGGGAGGGAGAGUGGAGCUCCAAGUGUAGCGGUGAAAUGCGUAGAUAUUGGCAGGAACACAAGUUACGAAGGGGGCUCACUGAACUGUAACUGACGCUGAGGCACGAAAGCGUGGGGAGCGAACAGGAUUAGAUACCAGUGUAGUC
rnacentral:rRNA from 1 species